AGCGAACGCUGGCGGUAGGCCUAACACAUGCAAGUCGAACGGCAGUACAGUAAGUGCUUGCUCUUACGGGUGGCGAGCGUCGGACGGGGGCGGAAUACAUCGGAUUCCACUUUUUCGCGGGGGAUAACGCCGGGUAACUUACGCUAAUACCGCAUACGACCUAUUGGUGAAAGCAGGCGACCUUCGGACCUUGUGCGAUUGAAUGAGCCGAUGUCGGAUUAGCUAGUUGGCGGGGUAUAGGCUCAUCAAGGCGGCGAUCCGUAGCGCGUCUGAGGGCGACAAUCAGCAGACUGGAACAGAGGAACAGUCCAGACUCCUACGGGGGGCCGCGGUGGGGAAUAUUGGACGAUGGGGGAGAGCCUGAUCCAGCCCUACCGCGUAAAUGAAGAAGGCCUUAGGGUGGUAGAACCCUUUUGUUGGGAGGGAAAAACAGCAGGUUAAUACCCCGCGGUUCUGACGGUACCCGAAGAAUAAGCACCGGCUAACUUCGUG
rnacentral:rRNA from 1 species